rnacentral:rRNA from 1 species
AUUGAACGCUGGCGGCAGGCCUAACACAUGCAAGUCGAACGAGUGGCGGACGGGUGAGUAAUGUCUGGGAAACUGCCCGAUGGAGGGGGAUAACUACUGGAAACGGUAGCUAAUACCGCAUAUCAUCGGAUGUGCCCAUAUGGGAUUCGCUAGUAGGUGGGGUAACGGCUCACCUAGGCGCCGAUCCCUAGCUGGUCUGAGCGGAGGACCAGCCACACUGGAAGUGAGACACGGGCCAGACUCCUACGGGAGGCAGCAGUGGGGAAUAUUGCACAAUGGGCGCAAGCCUGAUGCAGCCAGGCCGCGUGUAUGAAGAAGGCCUUCGGGUUGUAAAGUACUUUCAGCGAGGAGGCGUUACUCGCAGAAGAAGCACCGGCUAAAUCCGUGCCAGCAGCCGCGGUAAUAG